AGAGAGAAGGAAGGGAGGAGGGGCGAGCCAGAGAGGCGUCGGGGACGCGGGGCCACUCACCGCGGAGCCAGCGCGCGCCGGCGUGCGUGUCCUUGGGGCGGAUGAGGCGGCGGUGCGCGGCGCUGCGGCGCACGUACCACAGCAUCCAGAGCAGCUGCAGCAGCAUGAGCGCCGUGAGCAGGCACAGCAGGUGGCUCUUGCCCACGCCCGAGGCGUGCACCGCCCAGGCCAGCAGGAGCAGCAGCCCCGCCACGAACACGAUGAGCCCGUACUGGCUGCUCAGCGCCUCGGCCAGCUUCUGCGGGACGCCAGCCCGGACCGCGCCCCGCCGCCCGCGCGGGGGCUCCGGGGGCUCGGGGGGCUCCGGGGACUGCGGGCACCCCGCGGACCCCCGGGCCGGGAGGCGGGGCGAUGGGCGGGUCGCGGGCCCCGCAGACACCCUGGCCGGGGCGCUCCGAGCCGCCCGGGGAGAGGGCGGCGCCCCCUGGCCCUCGGGCAUCGUGGAGUGACCCGCGCGGGGUCUGGGUCCGGGAGCGGCUGCCAGGCCCCGGCCCGCGCCCCCCGCCCCCGCCCACGCCCACGCCCCGAUCCCCUCCCCUGCGACACCUGCGCUCCCCGCUUCUGCCCCUCCGCCCUCCGUCCAGUGUACCCGUGUGUCUGCCAGGAGAUGCCCAGAUGGGGACAAGACAGGAGCCACUUCCCAAUAAAACAGAUCGCCCCUCCCUCUUCUGAGAGAACCUCUGCACUGAGCAGUGCUGGGAGUGGGGGCUGCCAGGCGCUCCUGGAACCGUGGAGGCCUGAGCGCCUCCCUCUGCACCCCACCCCUACCCCAGCCUAUCUGAAGUUGGAGUCUGCCAGGGUGUCCCAUUCAGAUGCAGCUGAAGAGGAGAUUCCCUCCCCCAGAGCUUUCUGCAAAGGAACAAUCCUAAGGGUGCACUUGGCUGAGAGCAGGGGAAGGAGCCAGGAAAUUGGUGGGGGGAGCCUCUUGGGGGACUGCAGUCUGGAAGAAGCUCAGGCGGGCCUCUUGGGUGAGCCCCCUGUGCAGUAG
rnacentral:lncRNA from 1 species